AUUGGCUCUAUGAAAAUGAGGAUGUGUGCUGGGAAUGCAGACACCAACGAGUUUGGUCAAAGAGUAGAGAGCAUCACAAAGGCUUGACUGUUCAUAUUUUGCAGCUCAUUCCUGGAGUAGUGACUGGAAGCGAUUUACUACCCUCUCUAGUGUUCCACUUCCUCCAUGGGAGAAAGAGUUCCUGGUGAAGCCCAUGCCUUAUGAUUGCAUGGACAACUAGAUAAAAUGAAGUCUAACCUCUUCCCCCAGAAUCUGGAAGAGGGACUCAGGACACACCACUUACUGCUGUUAAGGAAAGCUCAAGGCAGAGAGCCCUGAAUCUGGAGAAACCACCUCACCUUUCUGGAUUGUGUGCAGAGAUAGAGACUGGUAAUGGGCGUUUAGGGGAGAGGGAGAAGGUCUGGAGCAGUCUGGGGAUAGUGAAGAAAGUUGCUGAGGCCACUUCAGAGAGAGGGGCUCAGGCUACCUAGCAGUCCAGGAUGUCCCUGAGAGGAAGCUGAACACCUCCGGAUGAAAUCCUCUCUGCUCCCUCCCAGCCAAAGAACGCUGUUGAAAUGUUCCCAAGUUGGCAUCCGAAAAGGGAGGUGAGUGCUGGCAUGUGAAAACCCACAGUUCAAAUGCCAGCACCGCAAGGGAGAGGGAGGUCAAAGCAGGGAGAUAAAAAAAAAGUGAAAUCUGGUGUGUAGGUUACCUGCAGAGUUUGCUUAAAUCAGGAAGGCUGUUUACCAUUGGAUAAAGCUGAGCACUGGGUGGCCAGCUGUGGAUAUGAUGCAAAUAUAGCAUGAUGCUUGUGGCUGUUACUAAAACCCAAACCAUCUGCUGGCAUGAUUUAAAUCAGGAAUGUCCCCAAAGCCUUGUCGGUUGAAAGCUUUGUCCCCAAGGAAAAGUUCAGAAAUGAAGCUUUGGGGAAGUGACUGAGCCAUGGGACUGUGACCUCAUCAACGAGUCCACCUAUUGAUGAGCUCAUAAUGCUACUGCUGAAUGAUGAACAUCCACGAGGCAGGCUCUAGUUGAAGGAAGUAGGUCUUCAGAGGAGUAAACCUCCCUCCUGGCCCCCGCUCUCUGCUUCUCUGUCACCCUAAGAGCUGCUUUGCGCCCUCCCCCACACGACUGCAUCUUGGCGUCUUGCCCUAUCAAAAGUCCAUUGACAGAGCCAAGUGGUCAUGGUUUGAAACCUUUGAACAUGAGCCCAGGUGAACCUUUCCUAAUUCUAAAUUCCUCCUCUUUUGUCAUGAUGAUGAUAGGUGGACUAACAUGUUUGUCUUCCUACACAGGGAUACAGUUCCUUCCGAUAUCAGGUAGUAAUUACGAUGAGACAUUAUCCACAUGUUAUUUGACCACUGGAAUUCUUUUCACUUAAAAUUAACUUUUCUAUAAAUCAGUGGAAUCUACAGCUUCUUGGGAGGAAUUAGAGAGAUUUCAUUGACAGUCAAUUACUGAAGAAGCAUGAAAUACGUCCCCCGUGCACUUGUCUCCCUUUUUCCUCUCAAGAAGACAGGGCUGGCCUGCUGGCAGAUUGAUGGCAUUAUCUUGACUGAUGUCCAGACCACUGUUGGCGGUACCACCCUGGGCAGAUGGGGAGAAAGCCAGGAAGCAGCAUUCCUCCACUGCAUCUGCUUCAGUUCUUGCCUCUAGGCUCCUGCCUUGAGUUUCUACUGUGAAUUUUCAUGAUGUUGUACUGCAAACUUUACGA